rnacentral:rRNA from 1 species
AGCUUUAGGGAAAGAUCUAAGGUUAUACCUGCCCAAUGUACAAGAUUAUUAAUGGCCGCGGUACUUUGACCGUGCUAAGGUAGCGCAAUAAAUUGGCUUUUAAAUGGAGUCAGGAAUGAAUGGAGUUACGUGGUUUAGCUGUCUCUUAUCUAAUUAAUUGAAGUUACUAUAUAGGUGAAAAAGCCUAUUUUAAGAAAAAGGACGAGAAGACCCUUAGAGUUUUACUUAAUGUGAAAUAUUUAGUUAUUUUCAUACUGGUUUUGUUGGGGCAACAUAGGAACAAUUAAAAAAUUUCCUAAUUUAAAUAUACCGAUAAUUUUAAAUUUGAAUAAACUACCUUAGGGAUAACAGCAUAAUUUUAAAAAUAAGUUUGUGACCUCGAUGUUGGACUAGGAAACUUAAAGGCUAGCCGUCUUUAAGGAAAGUUCUGUUCGAACUAUUAUUCCU